GGGCCGGGGCUGGCGGCCCACGGGCCCACUAGGGGCCUGAGGAAACUCCACCCUCCCCGCGGCAGCCGGACCCCGCGAGGGGUGCGGGUGAGACCCGCGGCAACGGCACAGAAACGAUACGGCCCCCAGCCGUUGAGUAUGAGGCGGCGAGGCCCCCACGGUAACGCGGGGGCAGUAACCCGCUGAGGAGGCUGGGGGAUGCGUUGAAACGGCCGUCCCCGGCGGAGCAAGGCUCCCCGCGGAUGAGGGCCGCGCGACAAGCGGGGGGAGUGGCCGCUGAGUCGAAUGCCGCCGUAGUACAGAAGGUGGGUUAUAGCCCCGGCCC
rnacentral:RNase_P_RNA from 1 species